rnacentral:rRNA from 1 species
GACGAACGCUGGCGGCGUGCCUAAUACCUGCAAGUCGAGCGGAAGUUGGAGAGCUUGCUCUUCAACUUUAGCGGCGGACGGGUGAGUAACACGUGGGCAACCUGCCCUGCAGAUCGGGAUAACUCCGGGAAACCGGUGCUAAUACCGAAUAGUUUUCGCCACCUCCUGGUGGCGUACGGAAAGACGGUUUCGGCUGUCACUGCAGGAUGGGCCCGCGGCGCAUUAGCUAGUUGGUGGGGUAACGGCCCACCAAGGCGACGAUGCGUAGCCGACCUGAGAGGGUGAUCGGCCACACUGGGACUGAGACACGGCCCAGACUCCUACGGGAGGCAGCAGUAGGGAAUCUUCCGCAAUGGACGAAAGUCUGACGGAGCAACGCCGCGUGAGUGACGAAGGUUUUCGGAUCGUAAAACUCUGUUGUGAGGGAAGAACAAGUACCACUUAACUACUGGUACCUUGACGGUACCUCACCAGAAAGCCACGGCUAACUACGUGCCAGCCGCCGCGGUAAUAC